rnacentral:rRNA from 1 species
AGCGAACGCUGGCGGCAGGCCUAACACAUGCAAGUCGAACGAACUCUUCGGAGUUAGUGGCGGACGGGUGAGUAACACGUGGGAACGUGCCUUUAGGUUCGGAAUAACUCAGGGAAACUUGUGCUAAUACCGAAUGUGCCCUUCGGGGGAAAGAUUUAUCGCCUUUAGAGCGGCCCGCGUCUGAUUAGCUAGUUGGUGAGGUAAAGGCUCACCAAGGCGACGAUCAGUAGCUGGUCUGAGAGGAUGAUCAGCCACAUUGGGACUGAGACACGGCCCAAACUCCGACGGGAGGCAGCAGUGGGGAAUCUUGCGCAAUGGGCGAAAGCCUGACGCAGCCAUGCCGCGUGAAUGAUGAAGGUCUUAGGAUUGUAAAAUUCUUUCACCGGGGACGAUAAUGACGGUACCCGGAGAAGAAGCCCCGGCUAACUUCGUUCCAGCAGCCGCAGUAA